rnacentral:rRNA from 1 species
GUCACUCCCAACCCCUGUGAACAUACCACUUGUUGCCUCGGCGGAUCAGCCCGCUCCCGGUAAAACGGGACGGCCCGCCAGAGGACCCCUAAACUCUGUUUCUAUAUGUAACUUCUGAGUAAAACCAUAAAUAAAUCAAAACUUUCAACAACGGAUCUCUUGGUUCUGGCAUCGAUGAAGAACGCAGCAAAAUGCGAUAAGUAAUGUGAAUUGCAGAAUUCAGUGAAUCAUCGAAUCUUUGAACGCACAUUGCGCCCGCCAGUAUUCUGGCGGGCAUGCCUGUUCGAGCGUCAUUUCAACCCUCAAGCACAGCUUGGUGUUGGGACUCGCGUUAAUUCGCGUUCCUCAAAUUGAUUGGCGGUCACGUCGAGCUUCCAUAGCGUAGUAGUAAAACCCUCGUUACUGGUAAUCGUCGCGGCCACGCCGUUAAACCCCAACUUCUGAAUGUUGACCUCGGAUCAGGUAGGAAUACCCGCUGAACUUAAGCAUAUCAAA